UACGUAGGGUGCGAGCGUUAAUCGGAAUUACUGGGCGUAAAGCGUGCGCAGGCGGUUUUGUAAGCCAGAUGUGAAAUCCCCGGGCUUAACCUGGGAAUGGCAUUUGGGACUGCAAGGCUGGAGUGUGGCAGAGGAGACUGGAAUUCCUGGUGUAGCAGUGAAAUGCGUAGAUAUCAGGAGGAACACCGAUGGCGAAGGCAGGUCUCUGGGCAUUAACUGACGCUGAGGAGCGAAAGCAUGGGGAGCGAACAGG
rnacentral:rRNA from 1 species